AACAACUGGAGAUUGGAACCUCAACUCUGCCCACCCCUGAAUUUCACUUACCCAUAUUAAAAGAAUAAAAUAAAUUUAUUUUUUUAAUCAAAUCUGAAUAAUCAUUUCAUUGUACUGCCAGAACAUGCAGAAAAGAUUCUGGGUUUUCCCCCAAUUCAAUGGGUUUUAAAAGGGCUUUACCGUUCAUCAAUUCUAGUGGAUCGAAGAGAGGGAUACUCUCAAUGAAAAAAUUGUGGUUCGUUUUCCUUCUUUGUUUCUCCCAUGCUUUAUUAUUAUUGUUAUUAUUGAAAUUUAACAUAUUUAACUUUCAUGAAUCAACCCACUGUAGAAAUGAAUUGAGUUUAUAUUGCAAGUCUGACUCUAUCAAUAUUGGGUCAAGUAUCAAUAGGUUGUUGGCAAUUCUUCUCCGGGCAUUUAGACUGAGUUGGAAUCUUCUAGUGGUCCUCAAUCGAGAGGGAGAAAUUUACUUGAAUACCAUCUCGGUCCGAAUAGGAUUAGUCUUAAACUGUAAAUCAGAAGACGACAUAGGUCAAGGCUCUCUGUGAAUCCUUUGUCUCUUUAGAUAAGCUGUAAAUGUGAGUCUUUGUGACUUUCUCUUGGUUAUAAGGAUGUUGUUUUCACUUUGUGUGGAAUGUAUUAUGAUUGUUUUUUCAUUCACCAUUUGAUUAACUUGCAUCUAAUGAAUGCUAAGGUAUGUCUUCAAUGAUGCCUGCCUUUGGUGUCAAGUUGAAAACUGUAUAACAUAUAGUAGCUUAUUUGAUGUGUUGACUAAAGGUUCCAUGAUUAAUCUCAGCGUCAAAGCUUGUUUUGUCCUGUAUGACAUGUCGACAAAUUUAUGCCUAAUGUUUGUUAAAUGUACGCGACAAUUUUCCACCAACAAGUAAUUGGGAAAGUGCCAAAGUGUUUGGAACGAUACUGCAUCAAUCUCAUAUCAUACUCGAAUUGCAGCGCACGACUGUUGCAAGAGGCCAUCAAUGUGGCUGCAAAAGACUCAGCGUUCAUUGUCUCUGUUAUUAGAUAAGCGAGUAGGGUUUAGCCAAUAUUUUCAGCUCAGGUCAUUUUCCGUGUUCACCAUGCAUAGUUCAUAUACUCAACUUCCCUGCCAUCCCAGGGGAUAUAUCUUCGUCUCGUGGAGAGAGCUCAGGUUCUUGAAUCCAAAGGUAAUGCAGUAGUGUCUAGUGGCACCAUAUCAACUUCUUUUACGGUUGAUUUAGACAACAUGAGAAAGACAGACCAACAUAAACAUUUCUGAUGGUAUGAAAAACGCUGUGAUCUUAGCAUCUGAGGCUACAAGAAUGAAUCAGGUUAACUGAGCACAAGGUGAUUACUUUUAUCUGGUUGCAUAUAGGAGUUCCGUAAACAUGUUGGCCUCGUUUAGAUAAAUGUAAAUGUCAAAUAGGUAUUGCUGAGGAGAUCUCCAUUCCCGGUGUUUGCGCUAGUAAAAAGAUUUAAUGCCUCAUUAGUUCUCUGGAUUUUGCAGAUAGAGGGAACAUACUGAUGACUUACCGUUUAAAGCUCGGUUCAAUUGUAGGACAUACUGAUCUGUUCUAUGUAUUGUUAUAUGCUGUAAUAUAUAGCAUUUGUCAUUUAAAUGAAUCAUAAACUGUUUUAAGGCCAAAAUCAUUUGUAGACGAGACGAGAGGUACCAAUGUCGUGCUCAUUGCCGAGUAGAAAAAUAAGAUCUCAAAAUUAUGGCUUAUUUUAUAGGCAACAAGUUCAAGGAUCGUAGAGCAGUACAUUCAAGCUUUCAGUAACAUCGUCAAGGACGUGAAAGGGAUGUAUCUGAGGACAUAUCGAUGCUUAUUGAACUUGUCCUUUAUGCCCAUUGAUAGGGUAACAACGAUGUUGCUUCCUCGUUCUACAACAUGGUUGCUCAAGUUCUCACCAUGUACAAAAGCCCAGUUUUAGUGAUGUUUCUGCCAACGGUUCUCGUCUAAACGUCUCUCCACCGAGCUAUAAAACAGGCUCCUAGAAGAAAAAGAACUGUAUUUCUGUGUCAUUGUAUCUACUUAAUACAAAGAUGAUUAUUUGAUAAAA